rnacentral:tRNA from 2 species
CGUACAUUAGUCUUCUAGGUGAAGGCACUCGCUUCAUACGUGAGAUUAAGCUUGGUUCGAAUCCAAGAUGUACGACCA